CUUUUACAAUGAAGAGUUUGAUCCUGGCUCAGGAUGAACGCUAGCUACAGGCUUAACACAUGCAAGUCGAGGGGCAUCAGGAAGAAAGCUUGCUUUCUUUGCUGGCGACCGGCGCACGGGUGAGUAACACGUAUCCAACCUGCCCUUUACUCGGGGAUAGCCUUUCGAAAGAAAGAUUAAUACCCGAUAGUAUAAUCAUUCCGCAUGGUUUGAUUAUUAAAGGAUUCCGGUAAAGGAUGGGGAUGCGUUCCAUUAGGUUGUUGGUGAGGUAACGGCCCACCAAGCCUUCGAUGGAUAGGGGUUCUGAGAGGAAGGUCCCCCACAUUGGAACUGAGACACGGUCCAAACUCCUACGGGAGGCAGCAGUGAGGAAUAUUGGUCAAUGGGCGCGAGCCUGAACCAGCCAAGUAGCGUGAAGGAUGACUGCCCUAUGGGUUGUAAACUUCUUUUAUAUUAGAAUAAAGUGCAGUAUGUAUACUGUUUUGUAUGUAUAAUAUGAAUAAGGAUCGGCUAACUCCGUGCCAGCAGCCGCGGUAAUACGGAGGAUCCGAGCGUUAUCCGGAUUUAUUGGGUUUAAAGGGAGCGUAGGUGGACUGGUAAGUCAGUUGUGAAAGUUUGCGGCUCAACCGUAAAAUUGCAGUUGAUACUGUCAGUCUUGAGUACAGUAGAGGUGGGCGGAAUUCGUGGUGUAGCGGUGAAAUGCUUAGAUAUCACGAAGAACUCCGAUUGCGAAGGCAGCUCACUGGACUGCAACUGACACUGAUGCUCGAAAGUGUGGGUAUCAAACAGGAUUAGAUACCCUGGUAGUCCACACAGUAAACGAUGAAUACUCGCUGUUUGCGAUAUACAGUAAGCGGCCAAGCGAAAGCAUUAAGUAUUCCACCUGGGGAGUACGCCGGCAACGGUGAAACUCAAAGGAAUUGACGGGGGCCCGCACAAGCGGAGGAACAUGUGGUUUAAUUCGAUGAUACGCGAGGAACCUUACCCGGGCUUAAAUUGCAGUGGAAUGAUGUGGAAACAUGUCAGUGAGCAAUCACCGCUGUGAAGGUGCUGCAUGGUUGUCGUCAGCUCGUGCCGUGAGGUGUCGGCUUAAGUGCCAUAACGAGCGCAACCCUUAUCUUCAGUUACUAACAGGUCAUGCUGAGGACUCUGGAGAGACUGCCGUCGUAAGAUGUGAGGAAGGUGGGGAUGACGUCAAAUCAGCACGGCCCUUACGUCCGGGGCUACACACGUGUUACAAUGGGGGGUACAGAAGGCAGCUACCUGGUGACAGGAUGCUAAUCCCAAAAGCCUCUCUCAGUUCGGAUCGAAGUCUGCAACCCGACUUCGUGAAGCUGGAUUCGCUAGUAAUCGCGCAUCAGCCACGGCGCGGUGAAUACGUUCCCGGGCCUUGUACACACCGCCCGUCAAGCCAUGGGAGCCGGGGGUACCUGAAGUACGUAACCGCAAGGAGCGUCCUAGGGUAAAACUGGUGACUGGGGCUAAGUCGUAACAAGGUAGCCGUACCGGAAGGUGCGGCUGGAACACCUCCUUUCUGGAG
rnacentral:rRNA from 1 species